rnacentral:rRNA from 1 species
UACGUAGGUGGCAAGCGUUAUCCGGAUUUACUGGGUGUAAAGGGAGCGUAGACGGCAGUGCAAGUCUGAAGUGAAAGGCGGGGGCCCAACCCCCGGACUGCUUUGGAAACUGUGCUGCUGGAGUGCAGGAGAGGCAAGUGGAAUUCCUAGUGUAGCGGUGAAAUGCGUAGAUAUUAGGAGGAACACCAGUGGCGAAGGCGGCUUGCUGGACUGUAACUGACGUUGAGGCUCGAAAGCGUGGGGAGCAAACAGG